rnacentral:tRNA from 1 species
UUAGCGUACGCCGCAGAAGGCAAUUUGGUUUCGGCCCAAAAGAAGGUGGUUAAAUUCCAUCACGCUAGA